rnacentral:lncRNA from 1 species
GGGGAGCUGUGAUUGCAAAGAAUUGAUAUGAAAUCGCAAAGAAAAACAAAUCGGACAUCGUUUGGGCUUUCAUAUUUAUUUCAUGUUCUCGGAUUGGAACUUGGAUUAUAUUGUAGAGCUUCUUCUUAGCUUUCCAGAACAUCUUGAAUCAUUCCAAUCGAAGUUCGGAUGCAGGAGUUAUGAUCUUUGUACCAACGGACGUUGAGCUUCACUAUUUUGGGUGUUCAUUUGCAUAGCAGUCACUUCCAGCCCAAGUUUGACCUUCAUCCAAUCAAAAUCAGUAAAUUCUCAAAGAAUGAAAGUUGUAGAUCUCGUCGAUAUCUUCGAUUUGAUAGGUGGAAGGCCCUGUAACUCCUCGCGGAUCAAAAGUUAUGCCUGUUUUAUCAAAGGACGUUGCAGCAGAAAAUAGAGUAGCGCGGGCCGCGCUAUAAAUGAGCUAGGAACAACGCGGGGUGCGCUAGUCCAUCAGAAACUCUGUUACAGUAGCGCGGGGCACGUCCAAAAUGGCCUAGGAACAGCGUGGGGUGCGCUAGUCGGUGGGGGGAGAGUUAAAUUGGGUUUUAUGAUGUCCAGUUUGAGCUAGAAUAGGAUUCUUAGUUGCCUAACUUGCUAGGGUGUCCAUUAGAACUAUAAAUACUUGAGUUUAACUUGGAUUGGGAGGCUAGUUCUAAGACUCCAUAAAAUCCCUUUUGGGAUAGAUUUCUAUUAACUUAUUCUUUACUUUCUUUCUUAGAUUAGGAACCUAGAUUAGAUGAGAUUGGGAGAUUGAAGCAACUGGGAGACCAUUGAAGAUCAAGAGCAGGAGCUUGAGGAAGAUGGAGAUUUGCUGACAACAGAUUUAUUCUUUACUCUACUCUUAUUUUUAUCUUUUAAUGUGUAUUCAAGUGUGGAUUCUUAGUUUUAAUUCAAUGAACUAAUUCUUUGUUUGAGAUUACAAUGGAUCUUAUUGUGUAGUUUAUUUUAAUAUGCU